GUGGAAUUGCUCUCUUUCUCACUCUCUCAGGUUCUCAGCCCUCUUACCGGUGAUUUCUUCUUAUCGGUUGGUCACUCCGUCAGAAGAGUUCCGAAAAUUUGGUGAUUUUCAAGGUUAUGAAGUUAAGAAUUAUCUUCUGACUUCCUCACGCAGACCACGCUGUGUCUUCGUUCCAGGUUCUAUCGUUCUGACUUCUUUCACUGUGAUUUCUUUUACUGUGAAAAUGCUUCCUAUGAAACCACUGGGAUAUGAUAAAUGCAGAAAUAAGAGAAAAAUUAAACAUGUUGAUGAUUUAGGAGAUCAUGUUGAAAAUGAUGAUGUCUCUAAUUUAGUCAAUGAACAACCUCUCAGUCCAUUCCCUUGGACAUUUAUGAUCCAAGUAAUUGGGAGAAUCUCAGUACAAAACUGAGAGAUCUAUUAGUUGAAAAAGGGCCUAGAAGAGAUCUUUUUGGGGAGAAAGGCCCAAAAGAUAAAUCCUCUAGAUGUUUCUCUUCAACAUUUUACACUCGUUAUUUACCAAAUGGAGAGAAACGUGAUAGAGAAUGGCUAGUUUAUUCAAAGGAUGUUGAUAAAGUAUUUUGUUUUUGUUGCAAGUUGUUUAAACCUUUGCCCCUAAAAUGUCAGUUAGCAAUGAAGGAUAUGGAGACUGGGAACAACUUAGUCUUUUGCUCAAAGAACAUGAAACAAGCAUUGAGCACAUCUUUCACAUGAUCACUUGGAAGGAUGUGCGUCUUACAUUGGAGAAAAAUGAAACGGUUGGUAAAAUAGUUCCUGACAAGAUUGACCAGGAGAAACAACACUGGAGAAAUGUGUUGCCAAGAAUCAUUUCAGUUGUGAAAUUUCUUGUUAAACAUAAGUUCACAUUCUUUGGAACAAAUGACAGGAUUUAUCAAAAUGAUCGUGGAAAUUUUUUUACCCAAAUUGAAAUGAUCGCAGUCUGGGAUCAAGUAAUGCAAAUGCAUAUUGGACGUGUUCAAAACAAUGAGAUUCAUUGUCAUUAUCUAGGUCGUAACAUUCAAGAGUUGAUAAUUUUGUUAGCUUCUGAAAUCAAAAGUGCAAUCAUAAAAAAAAUUAGGAAGCAAAGUAUUUUUCUGUGAUUCUUGAUUGUACUCUUGAUUCAAAUGACGAAAAAAUAAUUUCUUUGCUGUUACGAUCUGUAGAUGUUUCUACAAGUCCAACAAAAAUAGAAGAGUACUUUUUAGGGUUUUUAAAUGUGUGUUCGGGCCAAGGACUUUUUGAAGAAUUGCAAAGUGUGUUAAAAUCUCUUGACCUUAAUCUUGACGAUGUAAGAGGACAAGGAUAUGACCAUGGAUCUAAUAUGAGAGGGAGAGACCAAGGUGUACAGAAUAAGCUUUUAGAUAUAAAUCGUAGAGCAUGGUAUAUGCCAUGUGGUUGUCAUAGUCUAAACUUAACUCUUUGUGACAUUCUAGACUCUUGUAGUGAAGCAAAAUAUUUUUUUGGAGUGAUACAAAAUAUUUAUACAUUGUUUUCUCAUUGUUCAAAGUGUUGGAAAAUUUUGGAAGAUAAUGUAAAAGGUUUAACUCUUGAGCAAUUAACGAUCCCACAUUAUGAGAGUGAAAUUGAAAGUGUUAGAGCAAUAAGACUCCAUGCUCUAGAAGUAAGAGAAGCUUUACUUCAAUUAGCAGAAACUGUGCCUGACCUCAAAGUGAGGUGCCAAGCUCUUUCUUUAGCAAUAUAUGGAUUUGAUUUUGAGUUUUUUUACGCAUGAUUAUUUGGUUUGACAUACUCUCUGUUGUUGACUCUGUUAGCAAAUACUUAGAAUCUAAAGACAUGCUUAUUGAUGUUGCUAUAGAUGAGGUAAAAAGGCUGAUUAAUUUCUUUGAAGAAUAUAAAGAAACAGGGUUUACACAGGCCAUGACUGUUGCUAAAGGAAUUGCUACUGAAAUGGAAAUUGAUUAUGUGUUUAGUGAAACUUGUAAAACCCGUAGAAAGAACCAUGCUGCGAAUGUCAAUGAAUCAUCUACUGAAUCUGUUGAAGAAUCCUUUAGAAUUCAUUAUUUCUUACAUAUAGUGGAUCAAGUUAUAGGUUUAUUGAAGAGAAUGUUUGAACAGUUUCAGGCGUAUGAGGAUGUUUUUGGGUUGUUUAGUUCAGAGAAGUUAAAUUCAUUGGAUGAUAAUAAUUUGAAAUCUUGUUGUGGUCAUCUUGAAUUCAGUCUAAAGCAUGGAAAAUCUUGUGAUGUUGAUGGAAAUGAUUUAUUUGAAGAACUAAAAUUCUUACGAGGGAAUUUACCAAAAGAAAAAAUGACAGCCCUUGAAAUACUAAAUUUCAUAAAAGAACUAGGUCUUCCAAAUGCAUGCAUUGCUUAUAGAAUAUUAUUGACUGUACCUGUUACAUUGGCAUCUACAGAAAGUAGUUUUUCAAAAUUGAAGUUACUAAAAUCUUACUUGCAAUCGCCAAUAUCACAAGAAAAAUUAGAUGGACGAGAUUUGAUUUCUGUUGAAAAUGAUCUUCUAGAAAAUAUUGAUUAUGAAAAAUUUAUCAAUGAUGUUGCAACCAAAAUUGCAAUAAGAAAUGCUUCACAUUGAUACUUUGAUGCUCUCACUAGUUAUUGUUUUUUUUCUUUUUCUGCAGGUUUGCACUCAUUGACUUGCUGGGGAGAUUGAAGAUGGUUAAUUCUUCUUUGGGAGAGCAGUCACGUUUAUUUCAUCUUUGGAAGUGACAGAUCGCAUUUUUCAACAUCCGGUGUUGGUUGGUAGUCACAGGAAGUUUUGGUAGCUGUCUGUAGCUGAAAGUGUCAAGGUUGUCAAAUACAAGAUUUUAAAGUUCAGUUCACAUAUGGAAGAAAGCAUCUGGGUGAAAAGUCAAGUGUUGUGGGUGUUCGGUGGUGAUUAUCUUUCUCUGUUUUUGUUCAAGAGUUCACAAGAUUUAAGGGGUGUCGCGCGAGUUUCACCAAUUCCCAGAUCAUACAGUGUUUCUGAAAAUCGUGUUGAACCAAGAUGAUUGAGCCACAUUGGAGGAUGGUAUCACUAGCAGUCUAGCUGUGUGUGGCAGAUGUUCCGUUAACUCAGGAUGAGACCUUUCUACGUUUUAGUUUGACGGCAUUUGCUUCAACUUGAAUAUCUUAUCUGAAGAUUCUUUAGUUCAUGUUUGUUUAGAGCUUAGAUAACUAGAGCAGAUUGUAGCACUUUCUGACUCAAUAAUAUUCCUGAUAUUAACGUCAUACCUCCAUUUUG